rnacentral:lncRNA from 1 species
AAAAAAUUGAGUGAAUCGACACAACGAGAGAGAGAGACAUAGGAAGAAAUGAAUGAAUUGGUCGUUGACGGAAACAUGACUUCCGAAACGGCGUCGUCGAGCUCGCAAACUAGCUCUUCCGAAUCGCUUCAACAUUCUCAGGUUCCCAUAUUUUCCAAUUCUAUAGCACCAUUUCCACCUGCGUAUUAUUAUCAAAUGUUUCCCGCUGCUAUGUAUCCGUAUCCAGGUUUAAACCACGAAUCGGAAAACCGAGGUGGUGCUGGAAUAUAUGCUGUUUCUACUUACCCCUAUAAUUGUCAUGUUGCUGGAAUUCCAUACAACACUCUUAUUCCACUCACCUAUACCACGCCCACGUAAGUUCGUUCUUAUUCCGUCUUUUAAUUCGUAUUUUGCUGUCUAUGAAGCUUAGUUAGUUAUUACUUAUCAUGCGGUUUAAUGAAGUUUCUACUUAUUAAAACAUAUGGCCACAUUUAUACCUUUACUUACUUUGUUUCCUUUAAAGUAUAAAUCCUUUUUUCGUGUUUUCUUAAUUCUACGUGUAUGCUUUCAACUCGCAAGUUGCCUAGUACGAGUUAACAUAUAUUCAAUUGUGUUACGGUUAUCUCUACUAGGAAAGUUGUCUGGUUACUGCAGCAUAUCGAAAAGUGGCAUUGACUUUACUAGUAGUCUAGAACAACUAUGCUUGACUCUAAAUGAAUCAAAACAAGAAAUAAAGAUCUCUACUCAAGCACAAUGGAAAACUAUCUUUGCUCAAUAACUUUAUUUUACAACUAAUGAUGUGUGAAUGGAAGCUGGAGUAUUUACUAAGGGAUGUGUGUUACAGACACCGAACUUCGGCUUCUGCCCUUAACCAUGCAUUUUACCUUACUCUUCACUUGAGAAGGAAAGGCUAAGAUCUCUACUCAAGGGAAGGGGGAACGGUCAAAAUUUAAAAGACAGUCGGAUCUGGUAAUACUAAGAUCAACUGGGAAGAACUAACAACAUAUAACUCUUAACAAAUGACUGGUUUAUACUUUAUACAUUUUGUCUCAUCAGUUUCUAAAAAUACUGUUGAUUGAAAAUUAAGAUUAGUUCUUAGAUUGUACCACAUAUUAACUUGUAUCUGUGCAACAUAAAAUGCAUGUUCUAUUUUAGGCUUCCCUUCCCAAUGAAAAGCAUGGUUUAUCUUUUUAUGACAACAAACAUUCUUUAUCAAAAAUUUCAUGUCCAUUACAAUUUUUUAAUACUUAUAUCUGUAGGCCGAUCAUGUUGGUACUAUACAUUCGAAUUGUCGGCGUGCUUUCAUAAUUCUCAGUAGUUUAUGUGAUUAACAUUAUAUUUUCCUUUUACUCCUGUUUGGUUCAUUGCUUGACUGCUUGUUCAAAUCAUAAGUAAAACUGAAUUUAAGGAAAAAAUUAGAAAGCAAAUUUUAAGCAAUGAUCGGUGAAAAUGCUACUAUGUUUUUUGUGUGGAUAUUUUGAUUUAUGUCAAUGACUUCUUUAACUGAAUGAGCAUCAUUAACAGUAGGCCAAGUUCAGAUGGUGCUA